rnacentral:rRNA from 1 species
GACGAACGCUGGCGGCGUGCUUAACACAUGCAAGUCGAACGAUGAGGCCUUUCGGGGCGGAUUAGUGGCGAACGGGUGAGUAACACGUGGGCAACCUGCCCUCCACUCUGGGAUAACUCCGGGAAACCGGGGCUAAUACUGGAUACGACCCUCCCUCGCAUGGGGGUGGGUGGAAAGUUUUUCGGUGGAGGAUGGGCCCGCGGCCUAUCAGCUUGUUGGUGGGGUGAUGGCCUACCAAGGCGGUGACGGGUAGCCGGCCUGAGAGGGCGACCGGCCACACUGGGACUGAGACACGGCCCAGACUCCUGCGGGAGGCAGCAGUGGGGAAUAUUGCACAAUGGGCGAAAGCCUGAUGCAGCGACGCCGCGUGAGGGAUGACGGCCUUCGGGUUGUAAACCUCUUUCAGCAGGGACCAAGCGCAAGUGAGUGUACCUGCAGAAGAAGCACCGGCUAACUACGUGCCAGCAGCCGCGGUAAUACGUAGGGUGCGAGCGUUGUCCGGAUUUAUUGGGCGUAAAGGGCUCGUAGGCGGCCUGUCGCGUCGGAAGUGAAAGCCCACUGCUUAACGGUGGGUCUGCUUCCGGUACGGGCAGGCUGGAGUAUGGCAGGGGAGACUGGAAUUCCUGGUGUAGCGGUGGAAUGCGCAGAUAUCAGGAGGAACACCGGUGGCGAAGGCGGGUCUCUGGGCCAUUACUGACGCUGAGGAGCGAAAGCGUGGGGAGUGAACAGGAUUAGAUACCCUGGUAGUCCACGCCGUAAACGUUGGGCGCUAGGUGUGGGGACUGUUUCCACGGUCUCCGUGCCGGAGCUAACGCAUUAAGCGCCCCGCCUGGGGAGUACGGCCGCAAGGCUAAAACUCAAAGGAAUUGACGGGGGCCCGCACAAGCGGCGGAGCAUGCGGCUUAAUUCGAUGCAACGCGAAGAACCUUACCAGGGCUUGACAUGCACGGUGCAGCCGUAGAGAUACGGUGUCCUUUGGGGUCGUGCACAGGUGGUGCAUGGUUGUCGUCAGCUCGUGUCGUGAGAUGUUGGGUUAAGUCCCGCAACGAGCGCAACCCUCGUCCUGUAUUGCCAGCAUGCCUCUUCGGAGGUGAUGGGGACUUGCGGGAG